AUGGGUUCCAUCAGGCUGCUGGCUAUUUGACAGUUCAGAAGUAAUAUUUAGGCAGCAUAAAAGUAAACCACACAACUCCAGUCGAUCAAUUAAUGUCUUCUGAAGCAAACCGAUAGGUUGGUGUAAGAAACAAAUCGAUAAUUAAAAUGUUUUUAACCUUAAAUCAUUUUAAAUGACCUGACUCUCGCAUGACAUUCGUUCCUCUAUUGUAUACAAAGCACGCGCUUCCGACUUCUCGCGUGAAGGCACCAUUGCGCUUACAUCACUGAUGCAUCAACUGCUGGCAGGAAGCGAUUUUAAAAAGUAUUUUUUACACAAAAUGAUCACUUUGCUUCAGAAGACUUCAUUUUGGUUCUACUGAAGAAGGAAAGUCAUACAAUCUGGGAUUGCUUAAAGGAAGUGCAGAGAUAUUACAAUCAAAUGACUAAACAGAGAGAAUUGCUUGUGUUUGCACAGAACUAUUUACAGAGAGAUAAUAAGGAUACAGUGAGUGCAGAGGAAGAAGCAUCAGGUCCCUCAUCUCCUCCUGAUGAAGAGUUUGAUGGAGUCGGUGACUAUAAGGAGUCUUUCCUGGCUGAGUGGUGGAAAGAACCCAAAACUAAAGGAGAUACAGGAGAACCAGCUGAAUAAAACACAACAGUGCCAGUUUAUAAAUGUAUCUGUACUGUUACCUUCAAAAAGACUUGUGCUCCAUUCAAACCCACUGAUGACUGUUCCCCCAUUUUCCAUUGGGAGCUGAAUUAACUUCUCAUUUUUAACCAAAACUUUGUAUGUAUGUAUGUAUUGUUCUGAUGCAAUAAGGGUCUUUCUUUUUAAAAAACAAAACAAAAAAAACAUACACUGAUCAGUAUGUUACUAAUUUAGAGGCAAAAUACAUAUAUUUGUAGUUUUCUAUUUUAGAGGAUAUUUUUUUGGUACCACCAUCUCAUAUCAAAGUGUUUUUUGUUGAACUUAGAGUGCCACAUCGCCAGUCUAAACUCUGCUUUAUCUUACAAAUUACCACCAGGCCUGUACUGGGAAAGGCAUUUGUACAAUCAUAAAGGGUGAUGUUUUUUUAUAUUUAGUUAUUUGAAUACUUUUUCUUUUAUUCAAUGAUGUGUUAUGAUUCCACAGAAGAGUGUUAAUAUUUUGUCAAUAUAUUAACUGCCUUUAUCUGCAAAUGCAGUGUAUAUAAUUCUGAGUCAAAUCUAGACAUUGAUCUCAGGUCAGUUCUGUGCUAUAUGACAUCCAUUGUGAGGGAUCAUAAAUGCCCUGCUGAAGAAACACAGAUAAGAAACCUGUGAUGAAAUGUUUGUGUGUGUCAUGAAAUAUAAUUAUGAAGACGACAGGUGGUCACAGUAUUUCAACAAUCACCUACAUUUGGAACACACUGUAAAAUCCACAAAGGCCAAAAACAAAAAAACUGCCUACAUUUUUUUAAUCAAUGUAGCUGGUUGUAGUUCAGUUUUUGCAACACUUACUGUAGAAUGAGCCAUGUGCCAGGUUGCUUGGGUUUCAAUACACACAUUUUGCCGUCUUUAUGAUGUUACUGGACAUUUUUGUCUGUCAAAAGGUAUUUGAAGGAAUGCUUUACCCCACUCUGACCUGUUAAUACAUCAUGGGUCAGUUUAAUAUAUUAUAAUUAUUCACUUCAUGAUGGCUAAUCUAUUUUUCUCAGAAAACUGUAUAUUUCUUAAACGCAAACUUCUCUCAGGGUAGAUGGUUUAAUGUCAGUAUAUUUAACUUAAUAUGUAACUUGUGGCUCAUGUGUUCCGCCAAAGUACAGAUGUCUAUAGUGACCAUUUCUAUUAGACACAGCCAUUUGGUGCAGAUAUCAGGAAAGGAAUUUUU